rnacentral:rRNA from 1 species
UCUUUAUGGGGUGACUGCGUACCUUUUGUAUAAUGGGUCAGCGACUUAUAUUCUGUAGCAAGGUUAACCGUAUAGGGGAGCCGAAGGGAAACCGAGUCUUAACUGGGCGUUAAGUUGCAGGGUAUAGACCCGAAACCCGGUGAUCUAGCCAUGGGCAGGUUGAAGGUUGGGUAACACUAACUGGAGGACCGAACCGACUAAUGUUGAAAAAUUAGCGGAUGACUUGUGGCUGGGGGUGAAAGGCCAAUCAAACCGGGAGAUAGCUGGUUCUCCCCGAAAGCUAUUUAGGUAGCGCCUCGUGAAUUCAUCUUCGGGGGUAGAGCACUGUUUCGGCUAGGGGGUCAUCCCGACUUACCAACCCGAUGCAAACUGCGAAUACCGAAGAAUGUUAUCACGGGAGACACACGGCGGGUGCUAACGUCCGUCGUGAAGAGGGAAACAACCCAGACCGCCAGCUAAGGUCCCAAAGUCAUGGUUAAGUGGGAAACGAUGUGGGAAGGCACAGACAGCCAGGAUGUUGGCUUAGAAGCAGCCAUCAUUUAAAGAAAGCGUAAUAGCUCACUGGUCGAGUCGGCCUGCGCGGAAGAUGUAACGGGGCUAAACCAUGCACCGAAGCUGCGGCAGCGACACUAUGUGUUGUUGGGUAGGGGAGCG